GGGUAACCUUCGGGAGCCAGCCGUCUAAGGUGGGACAGAUGAUUAGGGUGAAGUCGUAACAAGGUAGCCGUAGGAGAACCUGCGGCUGGAUCACCUCCUUUCUAAGGAA
rnacentral:rRNA from 1 species